rnacentral:rRNA from 1 species
GACGAACGCUGGCGGCGUGCUUAACACAUGCAAGUCGAACGGAAAGGCCCUGCUUUUGUGGGGUGCUCGAGUGGCGAACGGGUGAGUAACACGUGAGUAACCUGCCCUUGACUUUGGGAUAACUUCAGGAAACUGGGGCUAAUACCGGAUAGGAGCUCCUGCUGCAUGGUGGGGGUUGGAAAGUUUCGGCGGUUGGGGAUGGACUCGCGGCUUAUCAGCUUGUUGGUGGGGUAGCGGCUUACCAAGGCUUUGACGGGUAGCCGGCCUGAGAGGGUGACCGGCCACAUUGGGACUGAGAUACGGCCCAGACUCCUACGGGAGGCAGCAGUGGGGAAUAUUGCACAAUGGGCGGAAGCCUGAUGCAGCAACGCCGCGUGCGGGAUGACGGCCUUCGGGUUGUAAACCGCUUUCGCCUGUGACGAAGCGUGAGUGACGGUAAUGGGUAAAGAAGCACCGGCUAACUACGCG